rnacentral:rRNA from 1 species
UUUGAUUAUGGCUCAGAGCGAACGCUGGCGGCAGGCCUAACACAUGCAAGUCGAACGAACUCUUCGGAGUUAGUGGCGGACGGGUGAGUAACACGUGGGAACGUGCCUUUAGGUUCGGAAUAACUCAGGGAAACUUGUGCUAAUACCGAAUGUGCCCUUCGGGGGAAAGAUUUAUCGCCUUUAGAGCGGCCCGCGUCUGAUUAGCUAGUUGGUGGGGUAAUGGCCCACCAAGGCUACGAUCAGUAGCUGGUCUGAGAGGAUGACCAGCCACAUUGGGACUGAGACACGGCCCAAACUCCUACGGGAGGCAGCAGUGGGGAAUCUUGCGCAAUGGGCGAAAGCCUGACGCAGCCAUGCCGCGUGUAUGAUGAAGGUCUUAGGAUUGUAAAAUACUUUCACCGGUGAAGAUAAUGACUGUAGCCGGAGAAGAAGCCCCGGCUAACUUCGUGCCAGCAGCCGCGGUAAUACGAAGGGGGCUAGCGUUGCUCGGAAUUACUGGGCGUAAAGGGAGCGUAGGCGGACAUUUAAGUCAGGGGUGAAAUCCCAGAGCUCAACUCUGGAACUGCCUUUGAUACUGGGUGUCUUGAGUGUGAGAGAGGUAUGUGGAACUCCGAGUGUAGAGGUGAAAUUCGUAGAUAUUCGGAAGAACACCAGUGGCGAAGGCGACAUACUGGCUCAUUACUGACGCUGAGGCUCGAAAGCGUGGGGAGCAAACAGGAUUAGAUACCCUGGUAGUCCACGCCGUAAACGAUGAUUGCUAGUUGUCGGGAAGCUUGCUUCUCGGUGACGCAGCUAACGCAUUAAGCAAUCCGCCUGGGGAGUACGGUCGCAAGAUUAAAACUCAAAGGAAUUUGACGGGGGCCCGCACAGCGGUGGAGCAUGUUGGUUUAAUUCGAAGCAACGCGCAGAACCUUACCACCUUUUGACAUGCCCGGACCGCCACAGAGAUGUGGUUUUCCCUUCGGGGACUGGGG